rnacentral:rRNA from 1 species
AUACAGAGGGUGCGAGCGUUAAUCGGAAUUACUGGGCGUAAAGCGCGCGUAGGCGGCUUAUUAAGUCAGAUGUGAAAUCCCCGGGCUCAACCUGGGAACUGCAUCUGAUACUGGUAAGCUAGAGUUUUGGAGAGGGAAGUAGAAUUUCAGGUGUAGCGGUGAAAUGCAUAGAGACCUGAAGGAAUACCAGUGGCGAAGGCGACUUCCUGGCCAAAAACUGACGCUGAGGUGCGAAAGCGUGGGUAGCAAACGGGAUUAGAUACCCUAGUAGUCC